AGGAAGGGACAUCUUGAUCGCAAGUGACUAACUGGAAGCAACCGAGGGAGGUAAGAUGCAUGCAUAUUCAACUUGCUGGUUUUCCAAGUUUAGGACUGUGAUUACUGAAUAAUUAAGUUCUUGUGACAGGGAACUAUGCAUCCUGAAUGGCAUAGACUCUUGGCUUCAUGAAAUGACCCAUGUCUAUGAUUCAAGGGAUAAAGUAAAGAAAAACAAGAAAAGAUUACUAGAAGAUUAGUUUUAGAAUUUUCUUUUAUUUCCUUGUAAUUUUUCUUUUAUUGGAUACUUGUAAAGACAUUGUAAUAUUCUUACUAUAAUAAAAAUUAUGAUUCUAUUUCA